rnacentral:rRNA from 1 species
GACAGAGGUGCCAAGCGUUAGGCGGAAUCACUGGGCUUAAAGCGUGUGUAGGUGGAUUUGUAAGUACCUUGUGAAAUCCCAUGGCUCAACCAUGGAACUGCUCGGUAUACUGCGAAUCUUGAGCCACUUAGGGGGCUACCGGAACAAAUGGUGGAGCGGUGAAAUGCGUAGAUAUCAUUUGGAACGCCAAUGGUGAAAACAGGUAGCUGGGAGUGUGCUGACACUGAGACACGAAAGCCAGGGGAGCGAACGGG